rfam:Lactonifactor longoviformis DSM 17459 genome assembly, contig: EJ64DRAFT_scaffold00024.24
ACAGUACAAACUGAGCAGGCGAUAAAUGGAUGAACCAUUUGUGGGGCCGGGUCGCGCGUAUGCGACAGCAGAUGUAAGCAGCAUCUGCGGGACAGUA